AUUAUUGUGUGAUGCUAAUUAAGCACAAUGAGUUACCUGCACCAAGAAAGACAUGAGGAAAGCUCUCUCUGUCUCAGCUGCUUCUCUUCUUCUCCCCAUUCCUCCAAAAGCCCCCCUUCAUUUUCAUUUCUCCGGUUCUUCUCCCCCAACUCCAAAAACCCUAAACCCCAAAUCAUGGAUCCGAAGCUCUUCGCCAGAACCCUAAUCCGAAAUGCGAUGGCGAGCAGGUCCUACUACACGAGCAGGACCUACUACAAGACCAACUAGCUGACCCUCUACAACAAAAUCAGCCCGCUCGGAAACCCUAGCUUGAAUGUGGUUCCAGAGCUCGACUACUGCGUCUACAAUGGCAACAAAGUCCGAGUCACAGAGCUUCUGCGCAUCAUUCACGACCUCCGAAAGCGGAAACGCUUCUCCCAAGCCCUCCAGGUUGCAGAUUUCAGAGUGGAUGAAUCAGAAGGGGAUAUGCAUAUUUUCGCUGGUUGAGCAUGCCGUGCAGCUGGAUUUGAUUGGGAAGGACGAAUUUUGCACAAAUUGCUGUGAAAUAAAGCCAAUUUGAGUCUGUGGGUCGAAUCGUAUUGGGCAUUGUUGCAUCAUGGAGCAUGUGACUGCUGGGAAGUUUAAGCUGGGGAGGAAGAUUGUGAGUGGGUCUUUCGGAGAACUCUAUUUAGGUGUAAAUGUACACAGUGGGGAGGAGGUGGCUGUUAAGCUGGAGAAGAUUUCUGAUGAGUUAGAUAAGAGAGUGAAGAAGUUUUUUAGUGGAGCAGAAGCAAAUUUGGAGGGCUUGAAAGAUAAGAAUUGAAGGGUCAACUUGCUGUUAGAGAAGAAUUGUAUGGAAAAUCUGCACAAGCUGCUGCCAAGGCUGAGAAGACACCAUGCGUGGUGAGAUAAUGGAUUAUUUGAAGUUAAGGCUCCAAGUAAAGGUAGAGUUGUUUCAACUAUAAUGCAUGUUUUCUUUUUCACAUGAAUGAUAGAAUUCCUAAUUACUCAAAAAUUCCUAAUUACUCAAUCCUCUCAUCUAUGUCUAUUGUAUUACAUUCAAUUAUUUGCUGAAACUCUUCUUUUCUUAAUAUGGUCAUUAAUUUUAAACGAUUGUUUUUCCAUACAAGCUUACUUUCCUUUGAUAUUAACAUUUUCUGAUAAAAUGGUAGAAAUCCACUUGCAUUUGACAAAUAAUUGUCAUCAUUAUAGCAGUACAAUGCACAUCCACAUAAUUGAGCAUAGUAAAGAAAAAAUUGAAUACUUCUUAUAGACAUUUCUUUUCAAUACUCCCAGACCUUCUUGCAUUGUACAAAAAUACUCCCAGACCUUCUUGCAUUGUACAAAAGGUUCGGAAUUUCUUUUUUAAUGUGUCAAUACAUUAUUAUUAUUUUUUCUUUUGUGCUUUGGCAAUAUGACUUAUCAUGCCAAAAGAUGUGCGUGGGUUUUGAGGGUUCAGGGAUCCCCUUUUCUCAAGAUUACUAGAUUGGUCCUUACCUCCAUGUGUUGUUGAGGGCACUUUUCUUGGCAAUAUAGUGCUUAGCUUAAAAUUAGAAUGUGAUUCAGUUAUAUUGAAUUUGUUCGAUUAACCGUUGGUCCAUUUAUAGUUCAUUUAAUCUUUUGAAUUAGUAAGCUACUGUGUUGUGUCCUUUAGAUUUCUUAGUAUGCUAUUGAUAUGAAAACAUCAUCUAUUUGUUCUAUUUAUCGCAUGAUAUAAGAAUCAAAGUAGACUUGGUAUCCCGUUUGUGGCCUUUUUUGUGUUAGCAGAUGCUAUCAGAUCGACAAAAACAUAUCGGCUACAAAGUGCAAUGAAUGCUACAGGUUACUAAGUUUCGCCAUAUACCUUCAUUUUGGCAUUGCCCUUUCUGUGACAAGUAAGCAUUAUAAUUUCACUUUGUGGAAUGAUAUUAAGUUGACUUAUGGAAUAAUAUAGGGUUGUGUCAUGCAUGAAAACUAUGAAUCCAUUUCAUCAUGCAUUUUUGGUUAAACUACUAUGUUUUUGUUCAAUUACCUGCAACUCAUGCCGUAGUUUGCUUCACAAACCUCUAUGGUUAGCUUCCAUACAGUAUGUUGGAAGUUUGAGGAUAUCUCUACAUCUUAAUUUCCGCUCUCUUUGGUUGCUUCAAGUUCGUAAUUUUACGUGCUAUAUUGCCACUUGAUUUGAUUAUAAAAAUGUAAAACAAAAUCCGUCCAUCAUUUACAAAUUUGUAUUCGAUUUUUGAUGUUUUUCUAGUUUAAGGCAUAUGUUGCACAAGCAUGUCAAUGGUACACAUUAUUUGGUUUUGGACAGUAAGCUUUGAGUUUUACAAUCCUUGCAAGGGGAUUGUGACUCAGGUGAACAAAUUUACUGUAGAAGAAGUUAUGCAUGCAUUCAUUUAGGUAAUUGUAGGAGAGGUUAUGCAUGCUUUCUUUUGGCAAUCCUUUCCCAGAACCUGUAGUGAUCCUGAUAUGAGUCUAACUCUGCCAGCAAAAGAGCGACGUUCAUGAACUUUUUUCUUUCAAUUGCUCCUUAAACAUAAGAGGGCAUACUAGCAUAAACUCUUUGGCACAAGGUAGCAUAAACUGCUUAUCUUAUUGACCUCAUUCACUCAUGUAUCCCUAUGUUUGUUCAUAAUUGUGUUGAAUUUAUUCAACUUAAAUGUGUUUCAUUCAUUUGGUUACGCCUGAAACAGAUGGUUCCCGCAGCAACGCGCAGGCGUAAUUUCUAGUAAGAACAAAGACAGAGAAGCAACAAUGUCCUUGUUUGUACAUUGUACAAGAAUACUGGGAAAUCUACCUUUAGACUAUUUAAAGAUAUGUGUUCUGUUUUUUACUUAAACAUGUUUUGCCGAAUAAGAGAUAUUGGAGAGGAAGGGUAACAUGACAUGGGAUGAGGCAUUGAGUGUUUUCUGAGACAUAACAAAAGGGUUGUUGUACACCCUCCAUGAAGGUAUAACGCAUGGGUAUCUAAAUCCAUCAAAUGUAAUUGUACAUGACAACGAAUGGAAGAUGGGAGAUUUAGGAAUUGCAUGAAAGUUGGUGGGUGAUUGUUUUGAGGAUGUUGAGAUGGAAGAAGAGUUGAAAGGUUAGACAUAAUGUGCCAGCAGAUAAAGUGGACUUUGAAAAGGACAUGUUCAGCCUUGGUAUGAUGCUCGUGGAGCUGAAUGCACAGCCAAGGAUGAUUUCCAAAAAUUGUAUCAUUUUCUACAGCUUCAAGAAGGAAGGAAAACUUCCUAAGAAAGUGAUUGAUCCUCGAUUAAGAGCUUUGUGCUAAAGCUUUUGGACAAGACCCUAUAAAGAGGCCUUCACCUGUAGAGGUAUUAUAUGAUAUUACUUUUAGAACGUAUAUGGAUAUAGUUUGAUAGUAGAGAUCAAAGCCCUCCAACUCUCACAAUCCGAUGUCGAUGAGGACAAACAUGGACAUAAUUGUUGUGUGUUUCCAUAUGCAACUCCACAAAACUCAUUUGUCAUUCACAAUAUGCUUAAAUAGAUUAAGUGAGCAUGUGGAGUGAAUGAAGAGUGAGUAUGUGGAUUGGCAUUAUACAACAACGUAACAACUAUGUUCAUGAAUGUCUUCAUCAGCAUCAGAAUGUGAGAGUUAAUGACUCAAUCACCACCAUCAGACUAUAUCCAUAUACAUUCUAUGUAGUGAUAUCAUCCAAAAUCUCUACCGAUGAAGGCCUUUUUGUAGGAUCUUUGUCCACAAGCUUCAUCACAAGCCUUUUAAAUUGAUGGUCGUUCACUUUUUCAAAAAGGUUUCAUUCCUUCUUGAAGCCGUAAAGAAUGCUACCAUUUUUUGAAAACGUUUCUAGUUGCACAAGCAGCUUCAAGAGCAUCAUACCAAGGAUGAACAUGUUUUUUUAAGCCCACUUUUAUCCUAUGGCGCAUCAUAUGUCUGACCUGUCAACUUUUCUUUCAUCUCCCCACCCUGACAACAAUCAUCCAUUAGCUUUCGUGCUGCAUAAACAAGUGCGUUAAAUUAUUUCUUAAAAGCUCACACCAGUUUUUACAUUUACUAAUAAACAAACUUAAACACUCUCACCAAUCUCGAAAUAUUAUAUCUUCCAUUCGUUGUCUUGUACAAGUACAUUUGACGGAUUCAUAUCUUCAUGAAGUCUACCUUUGUAGUGGAUGUACAUCAAACCUCUUGUUAUGUCUCAGAAACUCUUAACACCUCAUCUCAUGUCAUGUUACCCUUCCUCUAAAAAUAGCUCCUCA